AGUCGAUGGGAACCAGGUUAAUAUUCCUGGGCCAGUUGGAAGUGACGAAUGCUGAUAGUUGUUUGCUCUUAUUGGAUUGAGCGGGCAGCGUAGGUGUUCCAGGAAAUAACUCCAACACUAGACCGUACCCCAAACCGACACAGGUGGACAGGUAGAGUAUACCAAGGCGCUUGAGAGAACGAUGUUGAAGGAACUAGGCAAAAUGCUCCCGUAACUUCGGAAUAAGGGAGACCUCGCUUUGGGCAACCAGAACGAGGUGGCACAGACUAGGGGGUAGCGACUGUUUACUAAAAACACAGGGCUCUGCGAAGUCGCAAGACGACGUAUAGGGUCUGACGCCUGCCCGGUGCCGGAAGGUUAAAAGGAGGGGU
rnacentral:rRNA from 1 species